AGGAUUAACGCUGGCGGCGUGCCUAACACAUACAAGUCGAACGGACCUUUAUUUUGAGACGCCCCAUAUCCUUGGAGCAUCCCAUAAAUAAUGGUUAGUGGCGGACGGGUGAGUAACACGUUGGUACCUGCCCUCUAGUGGGGGAUAAGCCCGAGAAAUCGGGUCUAAUACCGCAUGUGAUCUACGGAUCAAAGCAGCAAUGCGCUAGAGGAGGGGCCUGCGGCUGAUUAGCUUGUUGGUAGGGUAAUGGCCUACCAAGGCGACGAUCAGUAGCUGGAUCGAGAGGUUGACCAGCCACACUGGGACUGAGAUACGGCCCAGACUCCUACGGGAGGCAGCAGUGAGGAAUUUUCCACAAUGGACGAAAGUCUGAUGGAGCAACGCCGCGUGCAGGAAGACGGCCUUCGGGUUGUAAACUGCUUUUAUGUGCGACGAUUUUGACGGUAACACAUGAAUAAGGUCUGCUAACUACGUGCCAGCAGCCG
rnacentral:rRNA from 1 species